UGCUGGGAAGAGACACUAUCACCACAGCAACUCUUAUAAAGGAAGACAUUUAAUUGGGGCUGCCUUCCAGGUUCAGAGGUUUAGUCUAUUGUCACCACGGCCAGAAGUACGGUGGUACACAGGCAGGCCCGGUGCUGGUAAAGGAGCCGAGAGCUCUACAUCUGAUUUGACGGACAGCAGACCAAGAGAGUGGCACUGGGCCUGGCUUGAGCAUCUGAUAUCUCAGAGCCUACUGCCAGUGAUGCACUUCCUCCAACAAGGCCACAUCUUCUAAUAGAGCCACUCCUGUUGACCAGACAUUCAAGUGUAACACCUAGGGGGCCAUUCUUAUUCAAACUGCCACAAGACAUGAAAGUAAGCAAAACACACUACAGACAUGUGUGAAUGUGUCAAAGAACAAAUUUAGUCAAUUAAAAGAAAAAAAAA
rnacentral:lncRNA from 1 species